AGGUAUUCCCAUCUUUAAGAAGACAUCAUAAAAUAAGAUAUUGGUGGAGCUUCUAUUAUCAAUUAAAAUAUGGUGUAUAUCAUAGUUUUUAAUAUUUACAAUUACAACCACCACAUCAUUAUGUGAAAACUAAAUUCCUUGAGCAUCUUCCUCGAUAAAAGUUAUAGGCUUUUCAGUUCUUCGCCUUUUCGCCACUUCUCCAUCUCCUUCAAGCCCUCUGCUG
rnacentral:lncRNA from 1 species